rnacentral:rRNA from 1 species
CCCUUAGAUGUCCUGGGCCGCACGCGCGCUACACUGAACGGAUCAGCGCGUUUUCCCUUCCCGAGAGGGACGGGUAACCUGCUGAACCCCGUUCGUGGUAGGGAUCGGGGCUUGCAAUUAUUCCCCGUGAACCAGGAAUGCCCAGUAAGUGCAAGUCAUAAGCUCGCGUUGAUUACGUCCCUGCCCUUUGUACACACCGCCCGUCGCUACUACCGAUUGAACGUUUUAGUGAGGUACUCGGACUGAGCCUCAGAAGAUUCACGUCUUUUGUGCUGCUCGGGAAGAUUCCCAAACUUGAGCGUUUAGAGGAAGUAAAAGUCGUAACA